rnacentral:rRNA from 1 species
CCUACGGGAGGCUGCAGUGAGGAAUAUUGGUCAAUGGGAGAGAUACUGAACCAGCCAAGUCGCGUGAGGGAAGACGGCCCUAUGGGUUGUAAACCUCUUUUGUCGGAGAACAAAACCCGGGACGUGUCCCGGACUGCGUGUAUCCGAUGAAAAAGCAUCGGCUAACUCCGUGCCAGCAGCCGCGGUAAUACGGAGGAUGCGAGCGUUAUCCGGAUUUAUUGGGUUUAAAGGGUGCGUAGGCGGUCCGUUAAGUCUGCGGUAAAAUUGCGGGGCUCAACCCCGUCGGGCCGUUGAAACUGGCAGACUUGAGUGGGCGGGAAGUAUGCGGAAUGCGCGGUGGAGCGGUGAAAUGCAUAGAUAGCGCGAAGAACUCCGAUUGCGAAGGCAGCGUACCGGAGCCAGACUGACGCUGAGGCACGAAGGCGUGGGGAUCGAACAGGAUUAGAUACCCGUGUAGUC